rnacentral:rRNA from 1 species
UACGUAGGGUGCGAGCGUUGUCCGGAAUUAUUGGGCGUAAAGAGCUCGUAGGCGGUUUGGUGCGUCGGCCGUGAAAACCUGCAGCUUAACUGUGGGCCUGCGGCCGAUACGGGCAGACUUGAGUUCGGUAGGGGAGACUGGAAUUCCUGGUGUAGCGGUGAAAUGCGCAGAUAUCGGGAGGAACACCGGUGGCGAAGGCGGGUCUCUGGGCCGAUACUGACGCUGAGGAGCGAAAGCGUGGGGAGCGAACAGG